rnacentral:rRNA from 1 species
GAUGAACGCUGGCGGCGUGCCUAAUACAUGCAAGUCGAGCGAACAGACGAGUAGCUUGCUCCUCUGACGUUAGCGGCGGACGGGUGAGUAACACGUGGAUAACCUACCUAUAAGACUGGGAUAACUUCGGGAAACCGGAGCUAAUACCGGAUAAUAUAUUGAACCGCAUGGUUCAAUAGUGAAAGACGGUUUUGCUGUCACUUAUAGAUGGAUCCGCGCCGCAUUAGCUAAUUUGUAAGGUAACGGCUUACCAAGGCAACGAUGCGUAGCCGACCUGAGAGAGUGAUCGCCCACACUGGAACUGAGACACGGUCCAGACUCCUACGGGAGGCAGCAGUAGGGAAUCUUCCGCAAUGGGCGAAAGCCUGACGGAGCAACGCCGCGUGAGUGAUGAAGGUCUCCGGAUCGUAAAACUCUGUUAUUGGGGAAGAACAAAUGUGUAAGUAACUAUGCACGUCUUGACGGUACCUAAUCAGAGAGCCACGGCUAACUACGUG